AGAGUUUGAUCAUGGCUCAGGAUGAACGCUAGCGGCAGGCUUAAUACAUGCAAGUCGAGGGGCAGCAUGACCGUAGCAAUACGGUUGAUGGCGACCGGCAAACGGGUGCGGAACACGUACACAACCUUCCUCUAAGCGGGGAAUAGCCCGGGGAAACCCGGAUUAAUACCCCAUAGUAUAUUGAAGAGGCAUCUCUUUACUAUUAAAGAAUUUAUUCACUUGAAGAUGGGUGUGCGGCUGAUUAGCUAGUUGGCGGGGUAAUGGCCCACCAAGGCAACGAUCAGUAACUGGUGUGAGAGCACGACCAGUCACACGGGCACUGAGACACGGGCCCGACUCCUACGGGAGGCAGCAGUAAGGAAUAUUGGUCAAUGGACGAAAGUCUGAACCAGCCAUGCCGCGUGGAGGAUGAAGGUCCUCUGGAUUGUAAACUUCUUUUAUCUGGGACGAAAAAAGGUUUUUCUAGACCGACUGACGGUACCAGAUGAAUAAGCACCGGCUAACUCCGUGCCAGCAGCCGCGGUAAUACGGAGGGUGCAAGCGUUAUCCGGAUUCACUGGGUUUAAAGGGUGCGUAGGUGGGCUGGUAAGUCAGUGGUGAAAUCUCCGGGCUUAACUCGGAAACUGCCAUUGAUACUAUCAGUCUUGAAUACCGUGGAGGUCAGUAGAAUAUGUCAUGUAGCGGUGAAAUGCUUAGAUAUGACAUAGAAUACCAAUUGCGAAGGCAGCUGGCUACACGAAUAUUGACACUCAGGCACGAAAGCGUGGGGAUCAAACAGGAUUAGAUACCCUAGUAGUCC
rnacentral:rRNA from 1 species